GAUGAACGCUGGCGGCGUGCCUAAUACAUGCAAGUCGAGCGAAUGGAUUAAGAGCUUGCUCUUAUGAAGUUAGCGGCGGACGGGUGAGUAACACGUGGGUAACCUGCCCAUAAGACUGGGAUAACUCCGGGAAACCGGGGCUAAUACCGGAUAACAUUUUGAACCGCUUGGUUCGAAAUUGAACGGCGGCUUCGGCUGUCACUUAUGGAUGGACCCGGGUCGCAUUAGCUAGUUGGUGAGGUAACGGCUCACCAAGGCAACGAUGCGUAGCCGACCUGAGAGGGUGAUCGGCCACACUGGGACUGAGACACGGCCCAGACUCCUACGGGAGGCAGCAGUAGGGAAUCUUCCGCAAUGGACGAAAGUCUGACGGAGCAACGCCGCGUGAGUGAUGAAGGCUUUCGGGUCGUAAAACUCUGUUGUUAGGGAAGAACAAGUGCUAGUUGAAUAAGCUGGCACCUUGACGGUACCUAACCAGAAAGCCACGGCUAACUACGUGCCAGCCGCCGCGGUAA
rnacentral:rRNA from 1 species